rnacentral:rRNA from 1 species
CCUACGGGGGGGCAGCAGUAGGGAAUCUUCCACAAUGGACGAAAGUCUGAUGGAGCAACGCCGCGUGAGCGAUGAAGGCCUUCGGGUCGUAAAGCUCUGUUGUUAGGGAAGAACAAGUACCGGAGUAACUGCCGGUACCUUGACGGUACCUAACCAGAAAGCCACGGCUAACUACGUGCCAGCAGCCG